AGCCACGUGACCCUCACUCUCAUCCAAUUGCUAGUAAUUUGGCAUCAAUAUACAGUCAGAUCCCUCAAACUUUACCCACUCCCCUCUCCUGUAAACAACUGGCCAGGGCAAAAAAAUACUAAAUUAUUUGGGACCAUGUUAUUCUGUAAGCUAGGGGGAUUUUAUCUGGCAACCAAAGGGUGUAAAUAUGUGUUUAGACCCAGACACACCCACAGAGGAAACUUACUAUAUGUAGACAUGAGCAAGCCAAAGGCUUUCGAUGUCAACUACUUUAAAGUUCUACAUUUAGAUAGCUAUAAGAUUGUGACAAACAGACAAAAGCCACCAAGCCAUCAAGUCCUUUUUAAACUCUUUCCUUUUAUUGCUGGAGGUAAGCACCUAAAGACAUAGGGCUUUGAGGGAAGGAUCCAGAAUUUAAACUUUCAUUUUGAAUUUCCUGGUCGUUAUUGGUUAAAGCAACUGCGGAGGAGGACCUUUGUCUGAGAGAUGGGAGAACCAGAGUAACUAAUGGAGCCAGUGGAGCCACGGAGACAGUAAAAGAACAGACUUAGCCGACUUUGAUGAAUUCAAGUCCCCCGGCCCACGUGAACUCUGCAUCUCCAACUCCUGAUAGACUGGCCUGUGUGACUGAGAUACAACAAAGUGGGUGAAGGGCAGAUUGUCUGAUUUUCAAAACAAGGGGAAGAAACAAUCUGUAUAUCUCAGGCCUGUGAGCUUAACUUUGGUUCUGGGAAGAAUACUAGAAUAGAUCAUGACAGAAAAGAUGGAGAACUGUGGCCGUAAAAAACGUCACACAGGCUUUCAGACCCGGUAGCUGUAUCUGUGGGUUUUGCGUAACUAUUUGGUGAGUGAUGUCAUAUCUGGAAAUGACUUGCGGUGAAGGGUGAUGCAGUGACUAAAGUGCUGGAGUAGCAGUCAGGAAGAUCUGAGCUUGAAUCCUCCUCAGACACUCACUAACUGUGUGACUGUGAACCAGUCCUUUGACCUCUCUAGAUCUGUUUCUUCGUCGGUCAAAUGGGGACCACAAAAGCACUUGCUUCACAGGGUAGUUAUGAGGAACAAAUGACUUAACAGAUGUAAAGUACUCUGCAAACCUCAUGGUUCUCUGUACAUGUACUAGAUACUAUCACAUGAAAAUGAAAGGCAUAGAUAAAAUAUCAUCUUUUCAAAGUAUAGCAAAUGUGCUUCAAAUCAAAGCAGCUAAAGUACUGAGAAAUAAACAAAAAGAGAAAUGGGAAACACUGACUACUGAAAUUGAAACACAGACUCCCCUUUAUUUGGCCCACAAAGAUAAGUAAGUUAAAACUUAGCAAGUGCUUGGCUGAAAUAGAGUAACUACUUAUAACAGCAAGAAUAGUAGGUAUUGUUUCUUGGGAAUGCAGCAUGACACAUUGGACAUUUCAGCAGGUGGUGUUUAAAAACAACCUGGGAUUCAGGGUUCCUUCCUACAGGGUCCUACU